GUUUCCCGCAAGCAGACACAGGCCACUUUCCCUGUGUCUACUCACAAGCUCACCCAAGAAAGAGCCUAUGCCUUCGGGGCUCAUCUCCUCCCUGUCAUCUCUCUCCUCACAACUAAAAGGAAGGCCUAGAACAGCUCCACUCAGGGAAUGAGUGCAGGAGAAUCACCAGGACAUGGUGGGCCAAUGCAGAUUUGGAUUCAGUAGCUCCUGGGUGGUAGGACCUCACAGUCUGCAUCUCUACUAAACUCCAGCUCCUGGUGACCUUGAAUCUACUUUCUGCUGCUGAGAAUUUACCUAUUUUGGAUGCUUCAUGAGACGAUUCCUCUUAGCAAAAGGGCACUGUGUACCCUCCAAGGCUGGAAAUGAUAGGUUUUCGGCGAGGAGUGAAAAUAUUGUGCUGACAGCCCUUUGCCUGUGUAGAGCAGGGUUGUUUACUCGCGCUGGAGCACAGCUUUAUUGAAGCAGAGAGUCAUGGUCCCAUCAUCAGGGUUGCCUAGCAACCAGUCUACGCCACUCCACAGAGUUUCAGAAUGGGCUGGACCACAAGUACCCACUUUGGGGGAUUUCCAGUGACAGUCCUACUCUCACUCCAUCACAUCGCUUCUAAAAUCUGAGUCACAUGGUUCAAAUUUCACAGUACAAAGUGUGUUCUUCAGAUCUGGGGUUCUCUCCAAAAUGGAUAAUCAUUAUUGAUUUUGUAAUGCAAUGCCAAGACCAUCAGUAAGCCUGGACCCACGCCUUCAUCAAUCUACUGUCAGGGAUAGAUUGUGCAUUUUCUGUGUCCCAGUGGGUGCCCCCCCCCCAAAAUAGAGCAGACAAAGCCUGGCCUGCGAGGGUACUGGUUUAGUUCAACAAAUAUCCAUAGAAUGCCCACUUAGGCAAAAUGGCAUAGGGCAGAUUGCCAAAAUCAGGGUUGACUCGGCCUGGAGCCAUGAAGUGGGUCCAACAGGUCUCUGAACUGAGGCAGGAGGCCCCAGGAUCCCGAGGUGUGCUGUAAAGCCUUUGAUGACAGCAUCUUGUGCCUAACACCUGACCACAUCUGAGCCACUAGAGACAGUACCUGAUAAGGAUGCAGAUGCCUGGGCCCUACCUUCCAAAGUUCUGGCUCAGUAGGUCUGGGGGAAGACCAGUAAUCUUCAUUUUAACAAAGACCACUGACGGUUCUGAUGCAGGUGGUCCAAGGACCACACCUGGAGAAACUUCCACCUCUAGGAGCAUCUGGGGUAAAAACUUCACCCAAACUUCCUAAGGUCACAACAUAUCCCCCCCAACAGAGGAAGCAGUAACUUUUGGCCACAGCCCCUAGAGAGGGGAUUUGCCUGGCGUUUCUAUACUGUCCUCUGUCCAAGGACAAAGUGUGCCUUACCCCACAACUGCUUUGUGGUUAAAAGCUUCUAUUGAGGGAUAGUUUAUUUACUUCUAGCACUAUGAAGCAAUAUAGUGAGGUUUUUGUUUCCUUUGAAUCCCAGUCAUUUUAUGCUGCAGAAAAUCUAGAGUUUUUGCCACAGUGGAGGACUCUGCUUAAGGACUACCUAUCUGGGUCUGGUAAUAGCUACCCCAACCCAACGGUCCUGAACGAGUAAUAUGGUUCGACUGUUUCCCUCCCCACCUCCAAAUCUCAUCUUGAAUUGUAGUUCCCAUAAUCCCCACGUGUUGUGGGAGGGACCUGGUGGGAGGUAAUUGAAUCAUGGGGGCGGUUAGCCUCAUGUUGUUCUCCUGAUAGUGAGUUCUCACAAGAUCUGAUGGUUUUAUAAGGGGUUUUUCCUCCUUUUGCUUGGCACUUCUUGCUGCCACCAUGUGAAGAAGGACAUAUUUGCUUCCCCUUAUGCCAUGACUGUAAGUUUCCUGAGGCCUCCUGAGCCAUGUGGAACUGUGAGUCAAUUAAACCUCUUUCCUUUAGAGAUUACCCAGUCUCAGAUAUGUCUUUAUUAGCAGAGUGAGAAUGGGCUAAUACAAUGAGAUAGAACUUAAAUCCCCUGCAUGCUCAUCAGAGGAGGCUCCAUAGAAGAUCAUGGACCUUGAACAAGGUGCAAUGGGGAAGACCAAAGCUGAAGUCCAUCCCCCAGAGGAUGAGAGAAAGGAAGGCUGCAGCUCAGGCAGCUCAGGGAGUCUGAGGCAGCAAACGAGCUCUGGACCUUGAAGUGGGGAGAGGAAGUCCUUUCACCUCAUCACAGUGCUCACAUCACCUCAGAAACCAGGUGGGACACACAGCUGUGACAGGAUACUGGAUCAUACCCCAAGAGAAAGGGGAGCUCCAAUGGAAAAGCCACCUGCAUCAUGAUGCUGCCUGUCACUUGACUGAGCGUUCCUGCUGCCCAGAAGCUCCUGUUGUCCUCCCAACUGACGGGAUGCUCUUGGACAGUGAUGCCAGCUGGAAUUAAGACUGGGUUUCCAAGGCCACUGUGACCACCAUGAUUAAUCAAUCCCUACUGCUAGGGCUCCAACAUGCCUCAGCCAGAAAGCUGUCAUCUCUUUCCUGGGAACAUUCCUUAAGAAAGAACCAUCAUGGGGUUGGAUGAAACUAAACUUGCAAAGAAGGUGAUGUGUAACCAAGUUGGAGUGUGGAGUGUGGGGUCAAAGAUGAUGGCAUUCUGUGUGGAUCCGCAGUGGUAGGAAUGGAGGUGAGGAGGAAGAAAUGAAUCCAGGAGGCAGCGUGACAGAAAACACAGACUUUGGUGACGACAUGUGAGAAGCUGUAAACUGAUAAGAAGAAAAGACGUCUCCAGCACGUUUGGGUUAGUGUCAUCAACCCAUGGAUCCUGCCCACAGCAAGACUUGGCCCAGUCACAACCCCCUUUCUAGCAAUGUGGAGAUAAAUGUCUUCAACAGAAAGGGUUGGGAAUCCCAUGUGACAGCCGAGCUCUGUUCUGCCUUUGACAGAGUCUGAUGCGAAGUGGAUCAUCUCAGGGAUGUGCCUUGCUGGCUUCACCCACCUGGAGCCUCAGGGGAAGUCUCAGGUGGGAGAUGUUAAUUUGAGAGGCCUGGGUAUAAAAGUAAUCCCAAGAUGUCACAAGAUAGAAUACUUUCUCUGAGGCACAAACAGGGAGAAAAACAAGAACAGAACCCCUUAGCAGGACACUCAUAAUAAGAAGAAUUAGGAAAAGAAAAGGGAACCCGGGGUGACACAAAACUGGGGGAGUCUGUUACCACAAGGUAGAUGGCUACCUCCAGUUGGACAAAUUUCCAUGGACCACCAUGCAAUUUCUGGAGAUGCCGCCUUUGAUCCCCUCUUCUCCCUUUGCUCCUCCCUCAUCUCCACACUCAAAGUGCACAUUAUUCAGAUGUCCAGCACGCCCCUAAAUCAACUUGACUUCUCUUGUUCCUUGGCAGAUUCAAGGACCAGCCUUCAUUGGAUUUGGGGUGGAAGCUACAUGCUUGUGUCAAGGGUUGUAAUCCCAAGUCUGGUCCUGUUUUCUGCAAACAAUAUCAUUGUAAACACAUUGAAUGUGUCUGAAUGGGAUUCACAUAACCUAUUCAAAGGUUAAUAUCACAAGACUGAUACUGAGCUGGAAGCUCUGAAAUGUACUUGUGCUCAGGGAAGAUAUUUGCUAAUGUUUGGCUUUAAUUUCCCCUGGAACUUGUACACAUCAGUGAGGCCUGGGGAUAAUGAAUAACAGCAUGGACAAUAAAUUUUAAAACAAACAAAAUAAAAACUCAAAGAACAUUAAUGCAGACCAGUGCUGGGAUAUGAUGUGUGUUACAAGAGAGUAAUGAUUACUCUUGGUGAGCAGAUUCUAUUAUCUGCUUCUUAGGAGCAAUAGGUGGCUGCCUCUUGAUUGUAUUAGUCCUGGAGUUAUAAAAUCCUCAGUCCUUUACAAUGCAAAAGUGACACAUGGGGCGAGUAAGCAGGUAAGAGAAGGAGCAAUUGGAGGAAGAGAAAUGAGAUCUGUGGCAGGGGCUAUUGGCUUUCCACUAAAACCCAUUCUCUACUUCUUGCUGGGCAAGAACUAGGCAGUAUUUACCAGCCCCUCUUGCAUUUGGGGUGGCCACAAACGAAUUCUGGCCAGUGGAGUGAGGGGCUUCUCAGACAGCAGCCUGCCCCUUCCACACUCCUGUUCCCCUUGCAGUGGCUCAAAGCCCUUGGGUGAUGAUGGAGCCAUAGCUGGAAGAAGCCUGGGUCCCUGGGUCCCCCGUGGAGCCUCCACGCGGGAAGGUGGUCUAGAAAUACACUUCCAUAUUUCAGCCAGCAUGCCUUGGGAUCUUUUUUUAAUGGUGGUUCAGCCUACCCUAACUAAAGCUGGGCCCACUCAGCACGCCCCACACAGGGAUUCUGAAAUGGGAGCAGGGUCCACCAAAACUCUGCUUUUCAGAGAGCUCACACCCUAGGGGAGUAUAAAAGUGACGAGGACACUGGAGCUGGCAGGCAAGACCCAGGAUGCCAAAAUUAGGGCCCCUAAACACAGCAGGGAGGGUGAGCUAUCCUCUUGUGAGGUGGGAGGAGGGUCUCCGUGAGCAGGGCUCUUCUUGGGCCAAACCUGGAUCAUGAGGAGGAGGGAGAGAUGCUGAAUAUGACAUGUCAUUCAAAGUGCUGUCUGGAAAUUUGAGUUCGUUUCUUCAGUAGAGGCAGCACAGGUUAAUCAGACAAACCAGCCAUCAACAGGCUUCCUUUGAGGAGCUUGGUAAGAAUGGAAAACCCAGGGCUGAGGGGCUUACAGAGCUUACAGAGCAGCACAGUAUCAGGGGCCCAAGGCACCAGGAGCUCCUCUGGAAAUUGGCGGGAACAGCUGGAGCAAAGCCGAGGUGAUGGUACCCCUGGUGGCGGGACGGCAGCGACCCUCCAUGGUAUAAGGAGUGGUGAGACCCCAAGGGACAGUGUGCAAGGACUCUGAUGGCAGCAACACUCCUCUAGGAGCUGAUGAGAAAGGCCUGGAAUCCCAAGAUGCACCCCUGAGGUUCAACUCCUACCCUGAUCAUCUCCUCCAAGAUUCUGUGACCUGGGGAAGUCAACAGUACAUUUCAACACCUAUGAUGUCAGCAUGUGAAUGACAUUCCAAUGCUGCUCAUGGGGUCACCCCUGCAAAGGUGAACUCAGUGGAAAGACCUUGCCAAACCGGAAGGAAAACAGGAUACUUUUCUCCAAAAUACUCAUUCAAUAAAUAUUUGCUUAGGCAUUACAAAGACAAAUAAGACUUGCCCCUACCUGUUAGAGGUAUGUAUGUCGAGAAAAGGAAGGAGUGAUUCAAUAAGAGAAACAGCAUUCAGGGAAGAGAAAGAAGGAAGACAUAAAAAUUCAGGUCAUAUUAGAAUAAUAUAUAUAACAAUGAGUUUGGCUAUAUUUCAGAAUUUUCCCAAAAUAUUUCUUUCAAAUUUGAUUGACAUUCUAAACUAUUUAGCUUGAUAUAAAUGAGAUCUUUGUGUACCCUCAGCAGGAACUGCAUUUUAGCUGGUUUUAAAUCUCAACAAUCACUUUCCUGCCUUGGAGAAGGUAUGAACCAGGCUGUUUAUGUAGAAUCCAGGUGGGUUUGAGAGCAGCUUCAGCUGAAUGGAGAGUGACAGGGAGGCUGAGGAAGGGAGGGAGGGGACCCAUGGGCUGUCAUACCCGGGGACUUAGGAAGGCUCUUGCUCUUGCUGGAAGGGUUGCAAAUCCCUAAACCAAGUAAUCCCAUCCCUAAACCAAGUAAUCCCAUUAAAACAUGAAACAUCCAGAGUAAAAUUAAGUUUAGAAUACUAUUUGCAAAGCCAAACAUAGUCUUACCAUAGGAUCCAGGCAUCACACUCCUUGGUAUUUACCCAAAUGGGUUGGAAACUUCCAUAUAAAAAUCUGCACACAGGCCGGGUACGGUGGCUCACGCCUGUAAUCUCAGCACUUUGGGAGGCUGAGGCGGAUGGAUCACCUGAGGUCGGGAGUUCAAGACCAGCCUGACCAACAUGGAGAAACCCUAUCUCUGCUAAAAAUACAAAAUUAGCCAGGCGUGGUGGCACAUGCCUGUAAUACCAGCUACUCAAGGGGCUGAUGCAGGAGAAUUGCUUGAACCCAGGAGGCAGAGGUUGCGGUGAGCCGAGAUUGUGCCAUUGCACUCCAGCCUGGGCAACAAGAGUGAAACUCUGUCUCAUAAAAUAAAUAAAUAAAUAAAUAUAAACCUACACACAGGCCAGGCAGGGUGGCUCACCCUGUAAUCUCAGCACUUUGGGAGGCCGAGGCGGGUGGGGUGGAUCACGAGGUCAGGAGAUCAAGACCAACUUGGCCAAGACGGUGAAACCUCAUCUCUACUAAUAAUACAAAAAUUAGCUGGGCAUGGUGGCACAUGCCUGUAAUCCCAGCUACUCAGGAGGCUGAGACAGGAGAACCGCUUGAACCAGGGAGUCGGAAGUUGUGGUGAGCCGAGAUCACACCACUGCACUCCAGCCUGGUGACAGAGUGAGACUCUGUCUAAAAAAAAAACCUGCACACAAAUAUUCAUGGUAGCUUUAUUCAUACUUGCCAAAACCUGGAAGCAACCAAGAUGUCCUUCAAUAGGUGAAUGGGUAAAUAAACUGUGGUACAUCCAGACAAUGCAAUAUUAUUUGGUGAUUAAAAAAAAAGAAAUGAGUUAAAAUCUUGGAUUUCUUUUUUUUAAAUGAGUUAUAAAGCCACAGAAAGACCUUAAAUACAUAUUGUUAAGUGAAAGAAGCCAGCCUGCAAAGCUACAUCUAUACAUGACUGUAUGACAUUCUAGAAAAGGCAAAACUAUAGAGACAGUGAAAACAUCAGGGAUUGCCAGGGGUUAAGAGGGAAGGAAGGAUGAAAAGGCAGAGGACAGAGGAUUUUAAGGCCGGUGAAACAAUUCUAUAUCAUACCAGAAUGGUGGAUAUAUGGGCUGGGGCUCAGAAAACAAUACCCCCAAAUGAAUGCCUCAGAAGCAAAAGUUUCUCCUGCCCUCCCAUCCCUGACCUCAUUCUCCCCCAAGGUUAGCCAUAGAAACCAGAAGUCCUCUUUCCCAAGGUGGGUCAUAGAAACUUCCAAACCCCUUUUCCCCAAAGCCAGUCAUAAAACCUAAAAAUAUGACUCUAACUUCCACCCCCACCCCACCACCUUUCUGUGUAAAAAUGUGUCAUAAGGAAAUCAUCUAACCUGCCUUGUUUGGUUGUCGGUCGUAAGACCCCCAUUCGAGAGAGGGCCCUGCCCCGUACCCAGCAGGAAGCAAUGCUGCCCAGAGAGGCCACGAGGAAUCUAGACAGGGCUUGCUGGGGGGCCCCACUCACUCUAUGAGCAUUAGCUCAUUCCCUUUUUUGUCCAAUCACAUUUCUAAAUAUUUUGUUGCACCUAAGCUUAAAAGUGGGCAGAGUCCCCUGCAUCUCUGGGUCUUCGUUCUGAAGGCUCCCCUGUCAUGUAACACUAUGACCAAAUAGAUGUGUGUGCCUUUUCUCCUAUUCAUCUGCCUUUUGUCUGUUAAUUUUCAGUGAAACUUCAGAGGGUGAAGGGGAAGUUUUCCUUGGCCCCUACACGUGUCAUUACAAACCCAUAGAAUGUACAAUGCCAAGAGUGGACCUUAGUGCAAGCCAGGGACAUUAGUCAGUAAUAAUGUUCCACGCUGACGCACAAAUGAAAGUUAUUUUAUUUGUGUGAACAGGAGAGCUGACAUGGUCUGUAUUGAUAUCUCCUGGGCAGGGAGGUGGUGAGCACGGCCCCAGAAUUCUGAACUGCCAGGAGCCAGGCAGCUUUGCAUCCUGGAGCUUGGCCAAUUCAGCCGCCCAAGUUCUGGCCAUGGGUCUGCAGCCCCCUGGCCCUUGCCUGCAUAAGCAGGAGAUGAAUGAGAGGAAGCAGAACUCACACAGGAGGCAGGAGGAAGCCACCAGGAAGCUCACUGGCUCCAGGGGCAGCAGAUCUGGGAUGGGGUCCCAGUUCUCUCCUUCCUCAUUCAUGAAAUGGGGCAAUAACAGUACUUACUUCAUUGGAGGUUCUUGGAGGGAAUAAAAGAGAUAUUAGUUAAAGGCAUGGAGCACAGUCCCUGGCACACUGAAAAAGUUUCAUAAAUGUUACCAAUUAAUUGUUUGUAUUAUAUAAUGUCUUCCUGAUAGGUUUUUGGGAAGGAAUAAAUCAAAGGUGAGAAAAUAUAUACAAAAACCUGACUGAGCGAGAACAUAGCUUACACACAAGAAGUGGCAGCUUGGUGAGCACACUGCUAUGUCAUGUUGUGCCUAGUCAUGACAUAGCCAAGGACUGAUACAGGCGCUCCCAUAACCCAUGGAUGGAUUCCUGCUGGACUCUAUUCAUGAAGGUUCUGAUUCUAAUUUUUUUAAAUCCAUGGAUAAAACAGCUACCAGAAAAUCCCAUUUGGGUUUGCAUGUUGUUCUUUGGCUUCGGUGGACAGCAAUCAUAUCAGUUGCAUUUCCCGAGCUAGAGCUCUGAGGCUUAGUCAUCCCCCUCCCUGGCUGGCUUCCAUGCUGUCUGCAGUGGGAGCAUCUUUUAUGAGAUGACAGGAGGGGACUUCAUGGAUGUGCAGCCUGGGCUGCUGGUACUGCCGGGGCUGCUGGUACUGCUGGGACUGCAGGAGAGGGAUGGUUUCUAUUAAUCCUCACAAUGGGAGGGUCCAGUGGGCUGUCACAGCACAGGCAGGGAAUCACAGGCCUCCCUGGGUGACCAGCUGUCCUGGCUGCUACCAGAUUCGGACUCCAGCAGGCUUUCCCUGGGGGCAGAGAUGACCUUGAUCUCUGGGCAGCUAGGCUUCAUGUCCUUGAUAUUUGUGGCCCUGCAUUGUUGGGGCACAGGAUGCAGAGCUGGGGAUGACUGAGCUUAAACUCCUGCUGCUAUGGAGGGCUGCCUCCUUGCCCUGAAUGCCCUGGGAGCCCUUUUAAAAACACAGGUCCAAGGAGUGAUAACAUGAGGGGCAGCACCUCUGGCCCCUGAGAGAGAAACUUGUCCAGUGAUAUGUGCACAAGCAACAUCUCCAGGCAUUCCUUCCAGACAAGGCAAGAGGCCCCCCAGGUGUGAUAUGUUAGCUACACAUGGGCUUGGUCUGUACUGCAAAUGUGUACUCAGUGAUGGGGCCAUUAGAUAUUUGGUUUCUACAUUGCUGCGAUGAAAAUUUACAAAGAACGUUCAUGGGGAAACCAGCUCCCAUCCAUGGGCAGCAGAGGAAUGUUGUCCAAGACUUACAUGGACAGGUAAGACUAAGGUCUCAUCCCAUACUCAGCAGUUCUGUGACCUUUUACAGAACAUAGGGAGGCAAGAAGGGAAAUGAGCCUUAGUUAGCCUCAGGGAGAACCAAGCCAGGUCUGUUUAGGGUCACCACCUUCACUGAACUGCCCUCCACUGGAGGCUAGGAACUGCAGGACAUGAGUUCAACAUCAAAAUAGUAAAAAUAGUGGCAAAUGUUUAGCAGUGUUUGCAACAUAUCAGGUGUCACAGCAACCUCUGCAGGAGAGGUGAGCAGGGCUAAUAUUUAGCAGGUGCACCCUUGUACUGGCUGCCUGCCAUUUAAUAGGUUAGUGCCUCAGCUGGUUAUUGAAUAUUUUCAACAUCGGCCCUGGGUACUAAGAUUAGUUCCCAUUUUACUGAUUAGGAAAUCGAGGUUAAGAGAGGGUAGGCGAUUUGCCUGAGAUCACACAGCCUCGUGUGUGGCAGAGCCUUAGAUUCCAAGCCAGGCUGUCCGAUGCCAGACCUUCACAGCUAUCCUAUGCUUCCACGGCACCCCGGACUUCCCCUUGGAGCACUUGCCAGUGAAACAAACAUGCCCUGGAGAAAUGCCUGGGUGAGUGUGCCUUCUUCCUUGCACAGAGACGGGCCUCUUGCACCCUCUACUUUCCUACUGUGGCUGGGGUGAGGUGGCGGGUAGAAGGGCGUGGGUUGUAGCUCACUGUCUUCUUCAGGAGUCCCACAGUGGGUAGGAGCACCAGCUGUUCAACAAGAGAAGACCAUUAGGCUUCAGGAGGGAGAGGAAGUUUUUUUGGGAAUGAGAGGACCAAGAGAAAUGAGGCACAGGGGAGAUCGGCCCCAAGGCUUGUCCUGAAAAAAGAACAUCAUCUUCUUCUAAGGUCCCGAGCGUGGGAUUUAUCUGACACAUUCUUCCACAUGCUUAUUGCAGGAGGAGCGUUGUGUUAAGUGCUUUGCAUGCAUUAAUUAUCUCAUUUAAACCAAAACCAACCCAGUGUGGCUGAGUGACUAUAUGAUGUCCAUUUUACAGAUGAGGAAAGGGAGGCUGAGAGAGCUUAAAGGACACACCACUUUUGAGUGGCAGAGCUAGGAUGCAAACCAGACCUGACUGCUGUUAAAGCUUGUGAUGUUUGUAGUCAUUCUUCUAUACUGUACCCUCAUAGGAAGUUCAAAAACAGAGAGGGUGGGAUUUGGUCUUUGGCUUUUGUUUAAAUGUAUGUUUUUAUAGAUAUAUUUCCUUAGCCCAUGCUAUGAACCAGGAGUUUCCAUUUGUUUAUUUAACUGAUUUAUUAAGCCUUUUUAGGGGCCAGCCCAGGUUCUGGGCACAAGCUGGAGAAGGAGAGCUGCUGCGGUCCCUAACUCAUGCCUCUUGCGGCAGUGGGUGGGUGUGAAGAGGGAGGAGGGGAGGAGGUGGUGAGAAGUCUGCUUCACAUUAUUCAGAGUUUCCUGUGAGCCAGGCACUGUGCCUGGGGCUAAGUGAUUAUAUCAUUUAGCCCUCCCAAUAGACUCUCAGGUAGACGCUCUCUUAUUUCCACUUUUUCCCAUUUACAGAUGGGGAAAUGAAGACUUAAGAAACUUAGGUAAUCUGCCCAAAGGCUUAUAGCCAAUACAUGGUAAAGCUGAGAUGUGAACUCAAGUAUCUGACUCCAAAGCCUGGGUUUUUUCUCUUUCUCUCUCUCUUUUUUUUUUUUUUUUGAGACAGGGUCUCACUCCUUCACCCAGUCUGGAGUGCAGUGACAUGGUCAUAACUCACUGUAACCUCAAACUCCUGGGCUCAAGUGAUCCUCCUUUCUCAGCCUCCUGAGUAGCUGGGACUACAGGCACACACUUUUAUGCCUGGAUAAUUUUUGUACUUUUUUUGUAGACAGGGUCUUACUGUGUUGCCCAGGCUGGUCUGGAACUCCUAGGCUAAAAUGAUCCUCCUGCCUCAGCCUCCCAAAUUGCUGGGAUUACAGGUGUGAGCCACUGUGCCCGGUCAAAGCCUGUGCUUUGAUUUGCCACCUAAUCCUCCUCCGUUUUAUAUGUAAUGUUAACCCCAAACCUGCAGGGUAGCCGUUAUCAGCCUCAUUUAACUGACAGGGAAGCCCAGUCUCAGAGGGGCCAGAUGCGUGCCCAAGGCCUUGCUGGGAAGAAUGGGAUUCUGGGCCCAGGCAUUCCAGCGCCAAGUCCAGGGCGUGAUUGUUACUCUGCAGUCCCUCUCUGUGACAAGAGCCUCACCGGGAACUCGGGGGUGGGGGCUCCCCCAAGCCUCCUGGCUGGACCCCAUUCCAAGCGUUAGUGUAACAGAUGUUGUGUGGCGGGAGUCUGUUGUGCUCCUGGUGUGUGGCUGGGAUUCAGAGGUGUCUUCAAGCGCUCUAGGAAGCCGGCGGGCGGGGCCAUGGCCGCAGAAGUGAGUGCAGGGAUGGAGAAUACAGGGAGUCCCUUGACCGGAGGAGACUUUGGAGGCAUUUGUGCUGUUCGCGUGAACUCCGCGUCCAUGGCCUACCCUGUGAUUGUCAUCAUUUCUAUGUGAGAAAAAAGCGGCUACUGAUUCACAGCGAAAGGAAACGGACUAGGUUCUGAAACUUCCUGUUUGUCUGGUAUCUGCAAAGAUAUGUGUGUUAUGCAAAUACCCUGACUCCCCAGAACUGCAGGUGUGUACAAACACACACACGCACGCACACACACACACACACACACACACACACACACACCCUCUGCUUGGCCCCAUGCAGUGGGUCUCCUCUGUACCCAGUAAACUGAAACAUGACUCUACUAACAUGGUAGCCAGGACACUGGGGACUCUGCUGUCGGAAUCCCUGAUCAUAGAGACAGCAGCUUUGGCCUUCGGCUCAAAGAGCUUCACAGAUGUCCCUUGUAGGCGAGUCCUGGCUCUGGCUCCUGGCCCACUGCAGAGCCUGGGAGUGAGGCAGGCAGAUAGGCGAGGGGGUCUCACCCAGGCCCAGGAACUCCAUUUUCUCUCAGCCCCAUUCCUCCCUCCCUCGGCUCCCUGACCGUGCUGAACGCAGCUCCCAAGCAGGGGGAGAGUCCAGAUAAUGGCAGAUGUUGAUUGUUUCCUGUUGGUUCACUGUGUCCUUUUGGCAGGCCUUUCUUUCUUUCAAAAUAUAUUCAGGUUUGAGCCUAGCACUGCAGCUUGCUGAGUGGGUCUAUGCUUCCAUAGAGCAGUGGCUUCGGGCACAGGCCUGAGACCCAGCCUGCCUGCGGGCUGCUAGCUGCCAGCUACCUCUGCACUAGGAAGGUUUUUAAACAGCUGAAUGCAAGCUUCAGCGUUAAUAGGUGAAAGUGAAAAUGACAUGUGACUUCUAGACAAUUCUCAUAGAUUCAAAAUAAUUGUUCUCUGUAAUGAGUAAAAUAACACUCUUGCAACAGCUGAAUGCUUUUCUCAUAUUCUGAGUUGCCCGAAUUAGGGGAAAUGGGUCUAAAUGGCUGCAAGAGGCAGUUUUGUCAGCUAGACGUCUUUUUACAAGUAUAUUGCAUCCUUCAGUCUCUUCCUGCCCCACCCUAAGACCCUCACCUGGGAAAUGGGAGGAUGGCUUGGAAGGCAAUUGUCAGGCCUCUGAGCCCAAGCUAAGCCAUCAUAUCCCCUGUGACCUGUACAUACACAUCCAGAUGGCCCGGUUCCUGCCUUAACUGAUGACAUUCCACCACAAAAGAAGUGAAAAUGGCCUGUUCCUGCCUUAACUGAUGACAUUACCUUGUGAAAUUCCUUCUCCUGGCUCAUCCUGGCUCAAAAGCUCCCCCGCUGAGCACCUUGUGACCCCCACCCCUGCCCGCCAGAAAACAACCCCUUUGACUGUAAUUUUCCUUUACCUACCCAAAUCCUAUAAAACAGCCCCACCCCUAUCUCCCUUCGCUGACUCUCUUUUCGGACUCAGCCCGCCUGCACCCAAGUGAAAUAAACAGCCUUGUUGCUCACACAAAGCCUGUUUGGUGGUCUCUUCACACGGACGUGCGUGAAAGCGAUGAAGCUGAGGUUGCAGGAAAGGAGUGAUCACCUGGCUCAGAGCUGGGCCCUAAAAGUCUAGGCCAGAGCCUCCCUGUUGUGAAAGGGAGUGGAAGGAGAAGGGGCUGGGAUGGGUCAAACUGGGUGGAAAGCUAGGCUCUGCUGUUUAGAAGCUGUAUGAUCUUGAGCAAGUUGCUUAACCCUUGCUAAGCCUCAGUUUCCCUUCCUGCAGAAAGGGAUUAUCAUGGGGACGAAAGGGGAUCCAGAACCUGGAGUGGAGGAUAGGGUGGGUAAGUGGAAGGUGUCAUGAGGACAACAUAUGCUGAGACACUCACCACCCUUUCUGAGGGCGCCUCAGCAGCAGGUCACAUGGUGCCUGAAACUCGUUUUUCUGAGUUGUGCUGGUUUGUGGAAUGAAAAGGGAAGCCAGGCUUCCUUCUUACUAGCUCUGACUGCCUUGUUUUAAGGAUCAUUCACCUUCCCUAAGGAUGGGAUAAAGCCUUCCUGUAGAGCAGACCGAUCUCCUUCUUUAUCCCUACAGUUCUCCCACCGUGGCCAUGGCCUUGGGGGCUGUUCUGACUCUUACAUUUAUAUAUCACUCCUACUUUCCCAGCCAGCAGGAUAGAAAACCUGAGAAGGGAAUUCUGCCUUAUAAACAUUUCUUACAGAUGGGGCAGACAGGUUGUUUCUUUUUUACCAAGGAAGCUCAGGGCAAUUCUGGUUGCAGGAAUGUUAAGCACUGAUAAAGAAGAGAAGAAAAAAUAUUCACCCUCCAGGGCCUGGAAUUUCCCCAUUCCUGAGCCCUGGCUUCCCUGUCUGAGAUAGAGACUGUCAGUCAGUCACCUACCAAUUCCCAAUUUCUCUUUCUGCUUUACUAAAAGUACUUGAUUUGGGAUGGGGGUGGGGGGUGGCAGGCAGCAAUACAUCCAAGUAAAAGACUGUACUUCCCAAAUCUCUUGAAACUAGGGACAGCCAAUGAGGUAUAAAUGAAAAUUAUUGGGGCUGGGGUCCCAAAAGCUUCUCUCUCUUUUUUGAGACAGAGUCUCAGUUUGUCAUCUAGGCUGGAGUGCAGCAGCAGGAUCACAGCUGUAAAAUCAAAAGUGUCAAAGACAGGUCUCAAUCAAUUUAGAAAGUUCAUUUUGCCAAAGUUAAGAGCACACCUUUAACCUCAGGUGAUCCUGACAGCAUGUACCCAAGGUGGUUGGUGCCCAACUUGGUUUUAUACAUUUUAGGGAGCAUAAGGCAUCAAUCAAUAUGUGUAAGAUGUACAUUGGUUUGGUCUGGAAAGGUGGGACAACUGAAAGGUGGGACUUCCAAGUCAUAGGUGGAUUCAAAGAUUUUCUGAUUGGCAAUUGGUUGAAAGAGUUAUUAUCGAUAGAAAAGAAUGUCUGGGUUAUGAUGAGGGGUUUUGAAGGGAGGAGGGUAGAAUGAGGCAUGUCUGACUCCCCCUUCCCAUCAUGGCCUGAACUAGUUUUUCAGGUUAACUUUGGAAUGCCCUUGGCUAAGAGGAAGGGUCCAUUCAGAUGGUUGGCGGGGGGGCCUUAGAAUUUUAUUGUUGGUUUACGUGGCUCAGUGCAGCCUUCACCUCCUGGGCUCAAGUGAUCCUUCCAUCUCAGCCUCUUGAGUAGCUGUGGCCACAGGUGCAUGCCACCAUGCCUGGCUAACUUUUUUUUUUGGUAGAUAUGGGGUCUUGCCAUGUUGCCCAGGCUGGUUUUGAAUUCCUAAGCUCAAGUUAUCCUCCUGUUACAGGAAAGGGGUCCUGAUCCAGAUCCCAAGAGAGAGUUCUUGGAUCUCACACAAGAAAGAAUUCGAGGUGAAUCCAUAGAGUAAAGUGAAAGCAAGUUUAUUAGGAAAGUAAAGAAAUAAAAGAAUGGCUACUCCAUAGGCACAGCAGCUUCCAGGGCUGCUGGCUGCCCAUUUUUAUGGUUAUUUCUUGAUUAUAUGCUAAUUAUUUAGUGUUUGCAAAAAUAGCCAGGCUAUAAGGGGUGGAUUAUUCAUGAGUUUUGUGGAAAAGGGGUGGGCAAUUCCCAGAGCUGAGGGUUCCUCCCAUUUUUAGACCAUAUAGGGUAACUGCCAGAUCUUACCAUGGCAUCUGUAAACUGCCAUGGUGCUGAUGAGAGUGUCUUUUAGCAUGCUAAGGCAUUAUAAUUAGCAUAUAAUGAGCAGUGAGGACAAUCAGAGAUCACUCUUAUCACUAUCUUGCUUUUGGGGGGUUUUAACCAGCUUCUUUACAGCAGCCUGUUUUAUCAGCAAGGUCUUUGUGACCUGUUUCUUGUGCUGACCUCCUAUGUCAUCCUGUGACUUAGAAUGCCUACCCUUCUAGGAAUGCAGCCUAGUAGUUCUCAGUCUUAUUUUACCCAGCCCCUACUCAAGAUGGAGUCCCUCUGGUUCAAAUGCCUCUGACACUCCCACCUCAGCCUCCCAUAGUGCUGGAAUUACAGGCUUGAGCCACUGCACCUGGCCUUAAAAGCUUCUUAAAGGGAUCUAAGAAAUUGACUCUCCCCACCCUCUUUCUUAACCGUAAAACACUAAUGUAAUGGCUGGAGUUCUAGCAACCAUAUUGGGCCAUGAGGCAACCUUGAAAAAGGAAGCCACAAACUAAAACAUU
rnacentral:lncRNA from 1 species